UAUGUGUCCUGUUUAACCCUACGACAGCCCUGUGGCGAUCCCCAGUUUACAGAGGGGAAACUCAGAACAGCUCCCAUUUCCUGGCAGUCGACCUGAUGCCGCAUUCCGCACUAUGGUCUGAGAUCAGGAUCACGAUGAGGGAGAAAUGACCAGCUUCUCGGAUCUCUGUCUUCCUAAAUCUGAGCCUGCGAACUUCAGGCUGCUGGACUGUUCAUGGAGUCCUGAACUGAAGCAGGGCCCCCCGGAGGCCAGGUGGUGGUGGGCACCCCCUCGUUCUGCACGGGGUGAGCUUCCUCAGCCCCUGGCCCCCAAACACUGUCCGCUCCUGGGCUGCGUAAAGAGCGAGGGUCUUUGCCAAGCAGGCAACCCUGAGCUGGGACCUGCCUAACCCUAACCCGGGGCCACCCACCCUUCUGGGGUCUUCCCCAGGUGAGAACACUCACCACCUGGCGGCCGCCCACUACAACCCCAUCCCUGCGUCGGGCAACGCCCCUCUUUUUCCUCUGUUGACCUCAAGAGUGCUCCCUUGUCAUUGUCCCUCACAUAGCACCUACCAAGACUGAAACAAUAAACCACAAGACAAUAGAC